GAUGCUUGCUGUCCCUCAACAGCCUCCCUUGCCUGUAUUUUUUCUUUCCCCCUCUCCUCUCCUUUCCCUUCUACUUCAUCGAAGCCUAGGGGAGCCAGUAAAGAUUAAAUGUGCUUUCUAAAAGGCAGCCACUUCAUGCAGCUAUGUCUACACCCCCCCUCCCCAGCUCCCCCUUUUUGAAAUAAAAAAAAAUAGAAAGAAAAGAGGGGGGAGACAGCGAGGGGGAGAAGGAAGGAGGAGGAAGAGGAGGACUAUAGUUUAAUGAUGUCGGGACUGGCUGAUCCACAAGGAGGAAAGAGAAAGGGGAAAAAAAAUAAAAGGAAAAAAAAAAAAAGGAAAAGAUUUGAGAUCCCGGACGAGGAAGGACUUUGGUGAAUGGGCUCAGACUCCUGAGGGGAGAGAAGAGCGGAGAAGGAGGUGGCAAGCUGGGGACGAAAUCCUGCUCUCGGUUAUGGCCGGCGUAAAUUUCCAUUGGCUGGGGUUGCACAAGGUGCUUUGGAGAGGAGUCGGUGCAGGAUGGAGUCCCUUUUGUGUGUGUGUGUGUGUGUGUACGUGUGUCUGUGUGUGUGCACGGUGCUCGGGGACCCUCCUCUCCCGGGGAAGCGGGUUUUUCCUCCAGGUUUUCCUCGGCAGCCCCGGCCCAGGAGCGGCUGCCAGGAGCUGGUGACCGCGCUGCGCCGCCCGCCCGCCGCGCUCCGCCACCGGCUCCGGGCUGCCCCCCGCUGCUACCGGGGCAGGAGCGGGCCGCGGCUCCAGCCCCCCCCCCAACCCCGUCUCUUCAUCAUCAUCAUCAUAAUAAUAAUAACAGCAGCAGCAGCAUUGGUGGGAGCGCGGAGGGAGGAGGCGAAGGGGCUGCGGAGGAAUUUGGGUCCUUUUCCUUUUUUCCCCCUCUUUUUUUUUUUUUUUUCCUUGAUAUAUUCCCUUAAAAAAAAAAAAAGGGAAAAAAAAAAAAAGAAGGAAGAUGUUUUAAAAAUGCAAGCGGCUUGCCCAGC
rnacentral:lncRNA from 1 species